rnacentral:rRNA from 1 species
GUAGUCCGGAUUGCAGUCUGCAACUCGACUGCAUGAAGUCGGAAUCGCUAGUAAUCGCGGAUCAGCAUGCCGCGGUGAAUACGUUCCCGGGUCUUGUACACACCGCCCGUCAAACAAUGGGAGUGGUGUUUACCAGAAGUCGUUAGCCUAACCGCAAGGAGGGCGGCGACCACGGUGAGCACCGUGACUAAUGUUAAGUCGUAACAAGGUAGC